CGUUUAUCCGAGGCUAAGGUCACCUCAUCCACGCUGCCGGGUCAGGGCCUGCGGGGUGGGAGGCCGAGGACGGGCCACCCUCGUCCAGUGUGCGGCCCUGUCUCUGGCCACCCAGGACGCCCAUCAGGAGACGCCGACCUCCCAGAUAAGUGAAAAGCUCAGAAAUUAGCUUCUCCUCCCUCCCCGCGCUCAGCCACUUCCCCCGGGAGCCUCGUUGCACGUGCAGAUGGGAACACUGAGGCACAGAGAGGUGGAGUCAUCAAUCAAGAUGUUCAUAAUUGUUCGAAUUUGUUCUGGAGGCACAACCAGCACAAUCAGAAGGAUGAAGAAAUGAGAGGUGUGAACACUGGGGAGGAGACAAUGCAUCGUUAUUUACAGUGAGAUGGAGGACUUUCCUGGAAAAAACGAAGGGAAAUCCAUGAAAACGAUCGACAGCAGAAUCCAGCGGCUGGAGACUGGCUGCAGCAUCCCCCAGGGCAGAAUGAAGAGGGGGACAGUGGGGCAACCUGCGUGGAUGCCCUUAGGCAUGGUUGGCCUUCUCUUCACUUCCCUGGAAGCCUUCGAAGCCAGGACCCAUGUUGAUGCCCCAUUUUCAUCCUCCCAAGAAGCGUGUGCUGCCUGUCAGGAGAACCAGCCCCUUGGACGGCAGCUGUUCUUAUCACGGGACAGAAAUCAGCAGAAGAAUCACUCCUUCUCGCCACUGAGAGCAAAUAAAGAUGGCCUUGGCAGAAAUACGUGCUAGGAUCACUGGCUUUUGUGUGUGGGUGGGUGGC
rnacentral:lncRNA from 1 species